GACGAACGCUGGCGGCGUGCCUAAUACAUGCAAGUCGAACGCUUCUUUCCUCCCGAGUGCUUGCACUCAAUUGGAAAGAGGAGUGGCGGACGGGUGAGUAACACGUGGGUAACCUACCCAUCAGAGGGGGAUAACACUUGGAAACAGGUGCUAAUACCUCAUAACAGUUUAUGCCGCAUGGCAUAAGAGUGAAAGGCGCUUUCGGGUGUCGCUGAUGGAUGGACCCGCGGUGCAUUAGCUAGUUGGUGAGGUAACGGCUCACCAAGGCCACGAUGCAUAGCCGACCUGAGAGGGUGAUCGGCCACACUGGAACUGAGACACGGCCCAGACUCCUACGGGAGGCAGCAGUAGGGAAUCGUCGGCAAUGGACGAAAGUCUGACCGAGCAACGCCGCGUGAGUGAAGAAGGUUUUCGGAUCGUAAAACUCUGUUGUUAGAGAAGAACAAGGACGUUAGUAACUGAACGUCCCCUGACGGUAUCUAACCAGAAAGCCACGGCUAACUACGUG
rnacentral:rRNA from 1 species